GACGAACGCUGGCGGCGUGCUUAACACAUGCAAGUCGAGCGGUAAGGCCCUUUCGGGGGUACGACGAGCGGCGAACGGGUGAGUAACACGUGGGUGACCUGCCCUCAGCUCUGGGAUAAGCCUGGGAAACCGGGGUCUAAUACUGGAUAUGACUCCAUGACGCAUGUUGUGGGGUGGAAAGCCUUGUGCGGCUGAGGAUGGGCCCGCGGCCUAUCAGCUUGUUGGUGGGGUGAUGGCCUACCAAAGCGACGACGGGUAGCCGGCCUGAGAGGGCGACCGGCCACACUGGGACUGAGACACGGCCCAGACUCCUACGGGAGGCAGCAGUGGGGAAUCUUGCGCAAUGGGCGAAAGCCUGACGCAGCGACGCCGCGUGAGGGAUGACGGG
rnacentral:rRNA from 1 species